rnacentral:rRNA from 1 species
UACGUAGGGACCGAGCGUUGUCCGGAAUCAUUGGGCGUAAAGCGCGUGUAGGCGGCCAGAUAAGUCCGUUCUGAAAGCCCGGGGCUCAACCCCGGGAGGCGGAUGGAUACUGUUUGGCUCGAGUCCGGAAGAGGCGAGUGGAAUUCCCCGGUGUAGCGGUGAAAUGCGCAGAUAUCGGGAGGAACACCAAUGGCGAAGGCAGCUCGCUGGGACGGUACUGACGCUGAGACGCGAAAGCGUGGGGAGCAAACGGG